GUCAUAUACAUGCUAUACCUUGAGAAAUACAGCUACUAAAAACGUGAAUGCUCCAAAUCUAAAAAGGAAAUUAAGAGAUUGGGACCAAUUUGAACCCACAUCCCUGUAGGGUCACUCUGGGCACUGACUUCUGCUAACC
rnacentral:lncRNA from 1 species